rfam:Schistosoma rodhaini strain Burundi genome assembly, scaffold: SROB_scaffold0011697
GCACUACUGAAGAGUCCCACAAUAGGACAAAACGGUUGUCCAGUGC